AGGAGAUGCCAGCUCUGCCAUUUGGAUGGGGGGAGGGGAUUCUCUGUAUCCGGAGUGACUUUGUUGUCCCACACUGCCUCCUGCUGCAGGUGCCUUGGAAAGAGAUGCUGCCUUGGAGCUGGUGAAUCCGUGGACCACACUCACUACAGGCAUCUCCUAAUCCUCUUAACUCUGAAUCGCAGGUCACAUUCUCCUUUCCAGCUAGGAAAGGGUUCCUAGCAGCUGGUUUAGACUGUGGUUGUUUUGUUUAAAAAAAAAAAAAAAAAAACAAGUUUUGUGUUUGCUGUCUUCGCUGGAGUCCUGAACUGCAGGUAGGAAAUAUGACCUGGCUUUGUAGGAAGGACACAGGCUGUUUUAUGAAUUAAGUGAUGAGGCUCAGGUGGCGGCCCUCGCAGAGCCCCUGGUGCUGUCUUUCAUUGAGGGCUUAAGGCCUGAUGAACUUAGGCACGUGAUACGUGAUAGUCUUAAUUGGUACACCUAACUAGUCUCUUCUGUGUAAUCGCGAAAAAAGGAAAACUGUAGGAAAUGUUCUGUUCUUUUUGAAAUGCCACACGACGGAGCUUUUUAUAAUAAAAUAUUUUAUAUGUAGUA